AGCCCUUAUUGCCACCAUGUAAAAGUCUGGCUGCCCUGACGGUGCCAUGCUGGAGAAAUCAUGAGGAGAGACCACACAGAGAAAGAUGCCCAAGGAGACUUGGCUGUCCCAUUCCCCCCCCCCCCCCACCCCCAGCUGUUCAAGUCUUCUUUGCCUAGGACUUACACACAGGAGUCCAGAAGCCUUUAAGAUGCCCAGACACCAUCUGACUGCAACUUCACAUGAGAACCUGAGCCGGAACCACUCAACCAAGCUGCUACUGAAACUAUGAGAGAUGACAAGUGACUAUUAUUCCUUUAGCCAAUAAGUUUUGGAGUGUUGGAUCUAUGUUAGCAUCAACCGAUAACUAAUACAGAUUUCGGUACCUGUAAGUGGGGAGGGGUGGGGGAGGUGAUGCUGUAACAAAAAACUAAAAACACAGCAGCGGCUUUGAGGACAGAAGUUGGAAGCGUAUGGAAGAAACUGUGGAAUCUGAUGUUCUUCAAGGAGGCCACCUAUGAGGGCUUAAAGGAAACCCACAGAUCAAGAGGAACUCUACAGGAAGAGCUGUAUUUGAGAAAUUCGUCCGGGGAGCCUCAUCUGAACCUGGACCUGAUUAGAUGACAAGGCCUAGGACUUCAAGUUGAUGCUGCAGCAUAAUGAGACUUGGGGACCUUGGAAAGAGAACAGCUCUCUGUUAAAGCUACCUUUGCCUGCCAGAGGAAUCAAAGAAUCCAAAGUGUCUCAAAACAGGGCCGGAAACACGCAUUAAGGAACAACAUGGAGAGAAAAUGCAGGCCAACUGCUCUGAUGGGGACUCUCAAUACCUCUGGAGAGGGGACUUCCCCGGGACUACAGCUGUUCAAGAAUAACUGCAGAGAGCCAGGUGGGAGGUCGUUUGCAAAAACAACACAGCCUGUAAAAUAAAAUGGAAUGACAUAAAAGAAAAUAACACCAUAUGAAAUAAAAUAAUAAAAUGGCCAAGCUAAAUUAAUGUCAGAGGACCCAACACCCACUCUUAGUCUCAGAGUAUCCACCUGUCCAGCCCUAGCCAGUUGACGUGGUCCACCCAGGCCCUCAGAGCAAUGGGGAUCAUCCUGGCAAAACAGUAAGAUGAAGUGGGGUCUGUGUUGACACCACAGCCCGCGCUGGCACCUGUUCUGCUGUACUUGGCUUUGGGGCCCAAGUGAGCAUGGAGCUGAUGCUGAAUUUCAUUACCCUUCCCACCAAAGAAUAACAAACCUCCACUCUUUCCCUAUUACAU